UCGGAAACUGCAACAGAUGGAAAAAAGGACACCUCCCUCCUUCCCUCCUCCACCCCAGGGAAGAAAAGCCUCCCCGUCUUGUUUUUGACAGCUGCCCCGAACUCUGCUGUCCCUGCUCUAGCCGCACAAGACAGCCGCCUCUGAUUCAAGGGGCGGGACACGGGAGGAAAAGUAUUCGAGACAAGAACCAACUUCUUCCAGAAUGCGCGGCUGCCAUUGACACGCGGGCGCGGCGCGGCGCACCCUUCUCCUCCCGGGGCUCUUCCUCCAGCAGCAACAGUGGGAGGUCGGCGGGGGUGGGGCGGCGGGGGGGGGAAUGAAGAGACACAGCCUAAGCGAACGUCUGUUCCCCCGGGCUAAAGCUGCGAGUUCCGGACUGGAUUGCAAGGCAGUUUCGAAAUCUGACACGUUGCGGACAGACACUUGUCAUGCUCACAUGCUCUUUAAACUUCUCUGCCCGGGGACGGCCGGGCGCGCGCACGCCUCGCCAAGACUCCGCCUGACACCCCUAGUCGCCAGACCCCGGCAGCGGUCACUUUUAUGGCUAAAGGGUGACCACGCCGUGGCUGCUCAUCUGUUUCGGUCAACAGUGUCUACUCUUAGGAUUGGAACCCUGCUAGGGGAUCCCUCCUCCCCUCCGGUAUUUCAAACAGAAACUAGCCAUUAAGUAAACACCCGUUCCUGUUGACUUAUUUUGGUCCACAGUUAGGAGGGAUCCAACAGAAGUUUCUUGAUGAAAUUGCGCUUUCAGAGACCAGAUGCCGUUUGGCUGACUUAAAGAAACGCAUGUCCCCUCCUCUGGUUCUAGUUUUCGCGUGGUUACGUCCUGUUGUUUUGAAGCAAACGAACUGUCACAUGCCACACAAUGAGACUUCCCUCAUCACUUUAAAAAAAGGAAAGAAAAGCCCCAAACGUAAAUAAGCCUAGCAGAGACAGCGCCCGGGUCUGCCUCCAGUCUGGGCUCUGUGCUGUUUUUGUUCGGUAACCUCGGUGGAGAUCCCGGCAGAAGAAACUGUGGAAAUAAGAUUAAACCCGAGGAGUACUAAGACGGCCAAGGGAUAACUAACUCGACUUUGGAGCGUCUGUUUCAGGAUUACGCCGAAAAUUAGAGCCAGCCUGCCACCCUCCCUCAAAAAAAAAAAAAAAAUAAGAUACCCCCGCCCCUAGAAUGCGUGGAGGCCAGAGUUUAAAAAGCCUGGGUGGUUUUUCCAAUUACAGGACUAAAAUGAAUCAACAGGGGAAAAAAGCGUCUCUCUAAGAAGGCAGCAACCUUACGAUUUUUUUCUUCUGUGGUUUGCUGACUGCUCGGCACAGAAGAGAACACACAUCUAAAACGGCUCGGGGGGAACGUGGUCCUGGGGAGAAGCCACCCGCCCGGACGCUGCCCUGCAACUGCCGGGAGCACAGUUCCUUCCCGGACCUGGCUGCAGAUGAAUCAGCUGCUGCGCCCGGUGCGGGACAGAUGUGGCGGAGGGAGGGGGCCAGCGCCCCCGCCGCCCGUUAGAGGGCCGCCUCGCUAUUUCAUUUGAAGGGUUGUUUGUGGCUGGGAUUGGUGGCUCAUAUCCGCUGGGGAGCCGGGAGCUGAGGGAGGAGAGACGCAGGGAGGAGGAGCCGGGGGCUGGGCGACGCUGCGACUCCGCGGCCUGAGUGGCAGGAGCCUCGUCUGGAACCGGGCGGUUACUGGGGAGACGCUUUGUUUGCUAACUUCGAGAGCGGCUUCGGCUGCCUCGGCCGCUUUCAAAGCCACUCCACAAAACACGCCUUCGGUCGGUUUAACCCUGCCUCCCCCCGCCCGCUUUAGCCAGCUCGAGACAAAAAUGUUUCCCUCUUCCCUGUGGUUCUCCUUGGCCACGCGGUGGCUCUCAUUAUGUACACAAAGGUAGCUUUGCUUUCGUCCAAGUGCACUUGGCUAAUGACUGCGAUUCUUAGGCAACCGAGAUGGAAACCGAGAAUUGGCACACAUAGUUCCUUUUGGUGUCUUAUCUUCUGAAGCUGCCUCAAGGCCAAGCAAAGAAAGUUGUUAAAAAGUUAAGUUACUUUUCACGGCCUGCAAACCCUUCAAAGGCAAGAACUCAAAUAGAAACUUGGAAAGGCAGUUCUUGGAUAUCCUGCAGUGGUGUGAUCAUAGCUCAUUGUAGCCACAAACUCCCAGGCUCAAGUGAUCCUCCCACCUCAGCCUCCCAAGUAGCUGGGACUACAGAUGAAUGCCACCUUGCCCAGGUAGCAUCCUGGAACCAAUCCCCCAUGGAUACCAAGGGACAACUGUACAUGGCUGACAGCUGGAGACUAUAGAUCCCAGUCUGCCUUCUUGACUGAUGUGGUCACAUGACUAGGUUCAAGCCAAUGGUGAGUGAAAAUGAAGUGUGCAACUUCCAAGUCAUCCCCUUAAAGAAAUAUCUACUUACCUUGGACUUUCCCUUGGGCUGGAAUGUGGAAGUGGAGGUUAGCCAGCUUCUACCACGUGGAAAAGACACCAACCUAGAUAACAGCAGCACAAAAUCAGGACCCCUGAGUAACUUUGUGGAGUACAGCUUCAUUGUAACACUGGGCCCUUUCACCGAUAGACAAUUUGGGGAGAGGAAAAAAAAAAACAACUUCGAUCAUAUGUAAGCCCUAUAUUUUUUGUCUCUCUGCCUUUAGCUUAACUAACAAAAAGCUGUUAAGAAUAACUCCCCACUUUUUUUUGUAGAGAUGGGGUCUUGCUUUGUUGCCCAGGCUGGUCUUGAACUCCUGGGCUCAAGGGAUCUUCCUACCUUCGUCUCCCAAAGUGCUAGGAUUACAGACAUGAGCCACUGCACCCGGGCAGAAUAACCGUUUUACUAUUCCAAAAGUGAUAUAUGUCAAUUGUAGAAAAUUCAGAAAACAGUGAACAAAAAGAAGAAA